UACGUAGGGGGCAAGCGUUGUCCGGAAUCAUUGGGCGUAAAGAGCGUGUAGGCGGCUCGGUAAGUCCGCUGUGAAAGUCCAGGGCUCAACCCUGGAAUGCCGGUGGAAACUGUCGAGCUAGAGUCCGGAAGAGGCGAGUGGAAUUCCCGGUGUAGCGGUGAAAUGCGCAGAUAUCGGGAGGAACACCAAUGGCGAAGGCAGCUCGCUGGGACGGUACUGACGCUGAGACGCGAAAGCGUGGGGAGCAAACAGG
rnacentral:rRNA from 1 species